CAGCACGCCGCGUGCGGGAUGAAGGCCUUCGGGUUGUAAACCGCUUUCAGCGGGGACGAAAAUGACUGUACCUGCAGAGGAAGCCCCGGCUAACUACGUGCCAGCAGCCGCGGUAAU
rnacentral:rRNA from 1 species